rnacentral:rRNA from 1 species
CCUACGGGAGGCAGCAGUGGGGAAUAUUGGGCAAUGGAGGAAACUCUGACCCAGCAACGCCGCGUGAAUGAUGAAGGUCUUAGGAUUGUAAAGUUCUUUUCUAAGGGAAGAAGAAAGUGACGGUAGCUUAGGAAUAAGCCUCGGCUAACUACGUGCCAGCAGCCGAGGUAAUACGUGGGAGGCGAGCGUUAUCCGGAAUUACUGGGCGUAAAGGGUGCGUAGGUGGGUUGGCAAGUUAGUAGCGUAACUCAAGGGCUCCACCUUCGAACUACUGCUAAAACUGUCGGACUUGAGUGCAGGAGAGGUAACCGGAAUGCCUGGUGUAGCGGUGAAAUGCAUAGAUAUUAGGAGGAACACCAGUGGCGAAGGCAGGUUGCUAGACUGUAACUGACACUGAGGCACGAAAGCGUGGGUAUCGAACAGGAUUAGAUACCCUAGUAGUC